GAUAACAAAGCUGAAAUAAUUCCUUUGCUAGUUUAAGACAAUGCUUAAUAUUCAAGGAACCAGUUCAUUUGUUUAUUUAUUUCCUUGAUAAAUUUAUGUUUAUUCUAUAAUACGUAGCUUUGUUAAUCUGAAAUGUUCUAAUGUUUUUCAACAUUAUUAUUUCUCAGAAUUCCAAUUGCGAUUUUUAAUUGAAGUAUUAUUUUUAUUUCUUUGCUUUGUAACUUUUAUGUUAAGAAACUAAGUUUGCAGUGUUCAUUCCUGAUCUUAAAAAGGGCAGGGCACUGGAAACUGAAAAAAGCUCUUAAAAAAGGGCGCCCAACACAAAAAAGAGCAUUAUUUACAAAUAUUUGCUUCACUUUUAUGACACCUAAUAUAUACAAAAUUUUUAAUUUUAUCAAUAAAAUUUUUGUUAGAGAUAAUUAGUUUAAACUAAAAAAUAAAUCCAAGGUUAAAUUGGCACAUUCUAUAAAUUGGUUUUAAAAUUAGUGUAAUCCUCAAAUUUUGAGAAAGUUGUGUAUCAUAAAAAUAACUUAUUAAAUAUAUCGAACACAUGUUUUUUUUCCUUUUAAUAUAUUGGGGUGCAAAAUCAGGUUCAAAAAGCAUUUGGGACAAAAUUUUUUAUUCAAAAGGCAAAUGGGACCCCUUGCAAACCUUGCCUAGAAGUUUAUAUGAACAAUAAUUUCCCUGAUUGGUGUGUUUUUCUUUUAAAAAUUGCCAUUAUGUGCACCAAGGGAAACAAUUAAUUUGGAUGAAUAUUACAAAUGUUGUCUAAAAUAAUUUUAUGAAUCGCACCUAACAGUGGUUAUGUGUUUUUCUUCUUUUUGUUGUUAGUUGCAAACUUUUACUAAUGAAAGUUAAAUGUUAAUAGUUAAAUGUAAAUGAAAAGUUCAGUAGAAAAAAUUUUUGAAAGCAAAAAUUUUAGUUCCUUAUCUACUACAUAUCUAAUUAAUUAGCUUAUUUAACAAUGAUUGCUUAUAUAUUUUUAAAUUGUCAUUUAUAUUGGUUAUGAGUUUGUAAAGACAAAUUUUAUUGCUAUUGGUAAUAUUUGACAAAAUUAUCUUAGAAAACAGUGAAUUUAAAAUUUAUUUCGAAAGCUCAAUUCAUUUUGUUAUCAAUUGCAUGUACUAAUGUUAAUAAAAUUGUUCUCUUAAAUAAUAAAAUUAAAGUCAAGUUGCCAUUUAAUGAAUUUUACGUUUAAGAUUAUGUUUUUGUUCUUCUGUGAUGUAGUUCAUUUAUUGUACCCUUAUUAAGUAAGUUUGGUUUAACAGAAAAUGAACGCAUCAUUUUUGUUUAUUCAUUUUCCAAAUUUUUUAGUACUGUGUAUUAGUUUAUUUAUUUUCUUUCUUAUUUAUCAUAAGGGUAAAAAAAUAAGGAACAUUUUAAUGCAUUGGAUUUAAUAGAGUUCUUAUUUCCUAUAUUAUAAAAUUUAUCCUGUUAUUUCAGUCUAAAUAUCCGAUUUACUAUUAGUUAUAUGAUAUAUAUUUACAGAAUUUUGUUCUAGACUGACCUUACACUUUGAUCACCAUAAUAGUAAGGCCACUUUUGUAAUGACAUUUUUUUUGUUUUCCAGUGCAUAACUGUAAUGAAAAGAAUGCAGUACUUUAAUAGAAAUCCAGAACAACCUUUUUUAAUUCUUUAGUGAAAACAAUUAACUUUUCCAGCUUCCUAUACAGUUUGAUUAUGAGGUUCCUUACAAACCAGGCAUGUUAAUGACAAUAAUAGAAAUAAAUUGUAACUAAUGAUAUUUUAUUAUUGUCUAUAUGCUUAAUGCUAAUACAUUUACAUAUUUAUAACUGCCAACUCUAGAGAAGUUUUCGAUAGUUUACUCGAUUGUCCAGUAGGUUUCUGGAUUCAUUUCAUUGUUUUGUUAAGAAAAUUUCGUAAAAACUAGUUCAGUUAACUUUUUGUUCACUGCACUUUUUUUGUAUUAGUUCUUUACAACUAUUUAAAAUAAAUUCAGUUUUGAAAACUAGAAUUUGUAAAAUAUCAGCAUAAUAAAUACUUAUUGAGUAAGUAUUUAUUAUCAAAUCUUGACUGUUCCCUUUCAGUAAUCCUUGACACCAUUAAUUCCUUUAACAACAUGCAUUGUAAACUUGAGUUUUCAUGCAUCGUAAAGUAAACUCUUCUCAUUUGCAUUCUAGGGUCCACGUGAGAGCAGCAUACCUUUUUUUCUCUAGCCAUUAUUUGUAAAAUUAUAAGUGCAAGUAAUAUUUAUGUUCAUUUAAAUACAACUGCAGACUAAAAGCAUGCAGCUAAUUUAAAAUAGCAGUUUCCUUUAAUUGUUCAUAAAAUCUCUAAAAUUUCCUUUUUCUAGACAGUUAUCUAUAAGGUUCGAGAGUUGAUGUGAAAUUUAAAUUUUUGUAAAAUUCUUAGAUUGAUUUUCUUUUCAUGCUGACAACUAUGCUUAUUUAUGUACUUAAUUUAAAAUAUUUUUUUUCUAUCUAGAUGAUGAAAAUGUUUGAGGUGCUUGAAAUCUUUUAGGAAACUGAAGGUUGCAAUCAUGGAUUGAUGGUGAUAUCAUUAGUAGUCAAAACAAAAAGCUAUCAGCUGAUCUGAUCAUUAUUUACUCCAAAUAAAACCGAAAGUUGAAAAGUGUCUUUCAAUGGAAGCAGAAGAUGCUGGUGCUGAGUGUAAGAAAGAAAAA